ACGGAUCUCUUGGUUCUGGCAUCGAUGAAGAACGCAGCGAAAUGCGAUAAGUAAUGUGAAUUGCAGAAUUC
rnacentral:rRNA from 2 species